GCCCCUUGAAAUAUAUCUAAAAUACUGUGGCGGCAUGUGAAAUCCGGCACCUAAAGCCAGUGGGGCCUCAGCUCACCACCUGCCCGCAGUGCGCGCAGGUGAAACUCAGGCCCCAACACAC
ensembl:snoRNA